rnacentral:piRNA from 1 species
GGGAACUGUGGUGACGGCCUUCGA